CCAAGCCCUACCACCCUUAUCUCCAAAAAAACAAUAAUCAGAAUCAGCCAAAUUAAUCACUAAAUAGGAUCAAGAAUUAGAAAAAGAAAAAGGAAUCUCUUUCUUCUUUAUGAAUCAAAUCGCGAAAUUUGAUCUGAAUAGGUCUUAAUCGCAAAUUUUAGCUCUCUAUAUACAGACGCCUCUCUUAGUUGGAGACUCAAAUAAAUUCAUCAAUUUUUACUGGGCUUUUUUGGGGUCAUAGUUCAACUUUCAUUUGAGAAUUAGGAAUAUUAUAAAAUAAUUUGAUUAUAUAAAUUAAUAAUUUUACUAACCGGGAAAAGUCUGGUUCUGAUUUUGGCCAAAUCCCAUUUGAACAACACUAUUGAGAUCAUCCUAAAAAAAUGUAGGGACCUGAAAAAACAAAAUUAAAGGUUCAUUAAAGGCCAUUAACCUGAACCGAUAAUCUGUUUAUCGGUUAAUAGGUCGGUUUCUAGAUUUUUCGGGUUGGGUUUCGGGUUUAGUAUUUAUGUUAUUGGUUUAUCGGUUCGGGUCUCUUUUAUUAUCGGGCUACCCGAUAUCCCAAUAAGAAAUAGGCCCACUUAAAUUUUUCAAUACCCAGUUAUCCUGAACCCAAGCCCAAAGGGAAAGGGUAAUAGGGUUUUCACUUUUAACGAUUUUACUCACUCCGUCACUCACAUAGCUGUUAGCGCCUCUCUCUCGUCUCAUCUCACUAUCUCAGUCUCUCUCUCAGAUUAACUGCUCAAUUUUUGCUCGUCUGCUCGACUGUUGCUAGCUUGUUGGCUUGCUGCUCACAAUCAUUCACUUAGGUUGGAAUUUUUUUCACCGUUUGUGGAAAGUUGCGUCGCCUGACAAAAGUGAAAAAGACCACAAUCUCGGGGCUGAUAACAAAACUCUUACAUUAACAAUUGAAGCUUGAAUUAUGCAGUUUUGAUUUUUGAAGAUUGUGUUUUAAUUGUAUAAUAAAUUUGAGAAUAGAAAAAAAAAAAAAAAAAAAGGAAGAUGGAUGUGAACUUUGGUAUGCAAGAGAAAAUUCAACCAAAAAUCUCUCUGGAAGAUUCUGGUAAAUAUCAAUUGUUGUUCAAUAUGCCUAUUUAAGCAAGAGAGUGAGCUACAUCAGACUUUUGGAUGUGAACUUUUGGUGUGCAAGAGAGUCUCUGCUGUUCAAUGUGCCUAUUUAAGUAAUUCUGGUAAACAUCAACUGCAUCACAUGGAUUUUGUGGUAGGCAUUUUAGGUGUCUAUCUGUCUCUCUCUUAGGAAGUUUUGAAAUGCUGUGUGAACUGUGAAGCUCUUGGGUUGACAGCUUGACAAACAUAUUGGUAAUUUUGGCCAUGAUUUUUCAUUAAUUGAGUAAUUUUAAAACAUUGACAAACA